rnacentral:rRNA from 1 species
AGCAGCCGCGGUAAUUCCAGCUCCAAUAGCGUAUAUUAAAGUUGUUGCAGUUAAAAAGCUCGUAGUUGAAUUUCGGGGUCAGCAGGUUGGUCGUGCCACUGGUAUGCACUGGCCUUGCUGAUUCCUCCCUCUUGAUGAGCCGUAAUGUCAUUAAUUUGGUGUUGCGGGGAAUCAGGACUGUUACUUUGAAAAAAUUAGAGUGUUUAAAGCAGGCAAGCGCUUGAAUACAUUAGCAUGGAAUAAUGAAAUAGGACGUUUGAUCCUAUUUUGUUGGUUUCUAGGAUUGACGUAAUGAUUAAUAGGGAUAGUUGGGGGCAUUAGUAUUCAAUUGUCAGAGGUGAAAUUCUUGGAUUUAUUGAAGACUAACUACUGCGAAAGCAUUUGCCAAGGAUGUUUUCAUUAAUCAAGAACGAAAGUUAGGGGAUCGAAGACGAUCAGAUACCGUCGUAGUCUUAACCAUAAACUAUGCCGACUAGGGAUCGGAUGAUGUUAAUUUUUUAAUGACUCA